GAUGAACGCUGGCGGCGUGCUUAAGACAUGCAAGUCGAACGAAGAAUUUAGCAAUAAAUUCUUAGUGGCGAAUGGGUGCGUAACACGUAGGUGACCUGCCCCGAAGUGUGGAAUAACAGUCCGAAAGGACUGCUAAUACCGCAUGUGGUCCCGGGUUUUAGAAAACCGGGUCUAAAGCAGCAAUGCGCUUCGGGAGGGGCCUGCGGCCCAUCAGCUUGUUGGUAGGGUAAUGGCCUACCAAGGCUACGACGGGUAGGGGACCUGAGAGGGUGACCCCC
rnacentral:rRNA from 1 species